rnacentral:rRNA from 1 species
AUUGAACGCUGGCGGCAGGCCUAACACAUGCAAGUCGAGCGGCAGCGGAAAAGUAGCUUGCUACUUUUGCCGGCGAGCGGCGGACGGGUGAGUAAUGCCUGGGAAAUUGCCCAGUCGAGGGGGAUAACAGUUGGAAACGACUGCUAAUACCGCAUACGCCCUACGGGGGAAAGCAGGGGACCUUCGGGCCUUGCGCGAUUGGAUAUGCCCGGGUGGGAUUAGCUAGUUGGUGAGGUAAUGGCUCACCAAGGCGACGAUCCCUAGCUGGUCUGAGAGGGUGAUCAGCCACACUGGAACUGAGACGCGGGCCAGACUCCUACGGGAGGCAGCAGUGGGGAAUAUUGCACAAUGGGGGAAACCCUGAUGCAGCCAUGCCGCGUGUGUGAAGAAGGCCUUCGGGUUGUAAAGCACUUUCAGCGAGGAGGAAAGGUUGAUGCCUAAUACGUAUCAACUGUGACGUUACUCGCAGAAGAAGCACCGGCUAACUCCGUGCCAGCCGCCGCGGUAAUAC